UCUGUGAGCUGACGUGUCCUGCCCUGUCCUUGGGCACCUUCCCUGGCCAUCCUGCAGUCCAUCCUGGUCCUUCAUGUCUCGGCUCCCGGGACCUCUCCAGGAAAAGCCUCCUGCCUUCAGGGUGAAAUCAAGGUCGUCUCAGUGUUACUGUUACAGCUUGUAGGGGCCUGUUUGCCUGUUUGCUCCCCCAGGGACAGAAUGAGAGAACUGUGUUUGUCCUAGAAUCCUGGUCCCAGCACAGAAGCCCAGUGUGUGGGCGCUGGAUAUGUGGACCCAGAGAGAAGGGACACGUCCUGGGUGCCUGAGCUCUUGCCGCGUGUUUCAGGACAAGUCAUGGACCCACUGGGGGACACACUCCCUCAUCUGCAGUUGAGAACGCUGGACUCUGAUGCACGAGGGGUACUGCAGAUUGAACCCAGGACCUCACACACCCUCUGCCUCUGAGACAUCCCCCACCCCAAAUGCCUUUAACUUCUUGAAUUAGUUUUAAAAUUCCAAAACUUGGAAUAGCAGAUGCCAUAUUAUGGGUGUGAUUUAUGGAAGAAAGAUAACAUAGGAACAGAAAGAAGAUACUAAUUGUUUAAAAUAAAAAGUCCUCCAUCACGGGCCUGAAGACUGUUCAAGCCAGAAAAAAACUUCUACUCAUGCGAUUCAGUCAUGUGCUACAGCCAGCUGAAAACUGUCGCUCAAAAUAGCAUCCAUCUUACUUGCUGGCGAGUCUGUGGCCCCACGUUUAAAGCUGAGGUUCACGGGGUCCCUCAUGUGGCUGGGCCCCCUGGGGACUCCCCUGGAGCCUGUGGUCUCAGACGGUCUCAGCCACAUUCAUGGCACCGAUGUUGGCCGUCGGUUGGCCAGCCCUCCUUGUGGCCCAAUGUCCUCAAGGGGCUGGCCUGGGUUUCCUCACGCACCGGCUUCAGGGCGGUACCCAGGGGAGCAAGAACAGAAACUGCGUAGCCUGGACUUAGAACUCCACAGCGUCACACCUGCUGAAUUCCAUCGUCAGUGCAAGUCAGAAGACCCCGUCAGAUUCAAGGUGGUGAGGACAAAUCUGAGCUCGUGCUGAGAGGAGCAGCAACGUCGUGUUGCAAAAGGAAAAGUUGACACUUCACAGUGUGCACAGCCUACCCAUGGUCACUCACCAGGGCUAAAACUCUGAUCUCCGGACUCCUGGCCCAGCUCCCCUACCAGCCCAUCCCAACGACCCUGUGCAGGUCCUACCCAGCUGAAGGAAAAGGACUGCUUGACCAGCACCAUUUAAACAGAUGCUCCCUGAGAAAACGCCAUCCAUUUCAACCCUCACUUUGGAACUUGGGGUCACUCGCAUGGAGUCUUUAUUCUGCCCAUGAAUAUACGAGAUUUUAGCAGUCAUUUCAUUAUUGCCACACAAUGAACUUAAUAGCCUUCAUUAUUUAGAAAUAAGUUGCAUAGAAAUGAUCACAAAACUUACUAUAAAUGGUGUCUUGUUAUGAAAGUAACUUUCCAAAGGCCUCAACUGAUACCAAUCCUAUCCUGUUUUAUGCAAUUAAAUGUAAGAGUUUUAUCUCUUUCAAAAUAUUCUGUGACAUACCCUGAGCCUUCCCCAGUUAUUCCAAGUUUAGCAUGUGAUCUCCCCAUCCAUGGAAUUCUUCAAAUACCCGAGUAUCACAGUGUCAUUGAGAAAGGAAACACCCCCUCGCAUCUGCGCUGUCUGCGAAGUGAGUGCUUUACUUCCUGCUGCACCACGAAUAGCUCCUGGCGCCCAAAUCAAAAACACUUCUGAGUGGUUUUAGAAUUGCUAAGCCAUUGUGCGAGGAAGGCUGUAAGAGACAUUAAGGAUCACACAUAAUUUCACGAAAAGUUAUUUGCUACUAAGUGCUCACAAAGCUGUAUUUUAAUAUAAAUACCAUUUACAAUUCUCAGGGGCUUAACUUGCAAAACAAUAACUUAAUAAUCUUUGUCAGUUCUGUGGUUAAGAAACUGUCCAGCUUUGAGUUUUCUGUUUCUUGAGAUAGAGUAGAUGAACCCUCUUACGAAUAAGAGGCAUCCCGUUACCACGCAGGGUGAUGUGCUUACAAACCCAGUCCAUAGCACCCUGUUACCAUGGUGACAGCCGUCUCAUUCAAGAGUGUCCACAGGGGUCCGAUGGAGCCUAAGGUCACGGGCAUUGAUGUUCCCGAGUGGAUGGAAACUGGCCUCCUCCAGACAGUUAUACAGUGUUCUCUCCCGUUAAAAAACCCCGCUAAUUUAUAUUGUUUAGGCAUGCCCAGUGGCCUAGACAAAGCAAAUGUAAUAAACUCCUUUAACUUAGCCAAAUUUAGAAGGAAUGCUCUUUCAGAGAAAUCACUCAUGUCAAAAUUAAACUAGUUUCCAAGAUCUUUCAUUUUGAUAAUGCAGCCAAACUCACUGGAGGCGUCUGCACAUGGGGGAAAGGGAAACACAGACGCUCCCUGCAUGACCCCAUUUGUGUUCAGCAGUCCUGUGGAGGGACCACAGGUACUUCCCAAGAGGAAACCUCUGCAGAGCCGCAGCUGGACUGUGGCAGACAUCGCUCAGGGGAAGAGAGCGGUGUAGCCUGUUCCAAAGGCUGCCUUUGAAAUGCACCUUUUCUGUUCCAAGUCCCGUCUCUGGGGCAGAGGGAGAGAGGCUGCCCAUCCCCAUCCACCUCCUCCAUGUCUCCUCUUUAAUCCCUCUGCCAGGGCUCUUCCCAGCUCACAGUGUCCGUCUCAAACAGGUACAUGAGGGCAAGGGUGAUGCUGGCUCCAGAUCUGAACAAGUCCCAACACGGUCCCGGUGACUUUUAAACAAUUCUGCCUGUGUCUCUACUUUUCAUUUCUGCUAUUAACAUACUACGCUGAGCUGUGAGCACGCCUUGUGUGAAGUGGGCUCCGUGAAACCUUUGACGCUUUUUGGAAAUUAUGAAUGUGAUUAAUGCCCUGACUUAUAACCAAACAUUUUUCUAAA